rnacentral:lncRNA from 1 species
ACUGCAUUUUAUAAACAUGAAAACAAAAUAAAAAGAAAAAAUAAUAAAAGACCAAAAAAGGUACAUGAUGGAAAUGAUGAACAGUUGCUCUGUUUGCUUACUUUCAAGUACCUGGCUUUUAUAUUAGAGUUCUUCAAGGAAUUACUAAAACUGAAAUUACUAUCCAUGGGAAGCAUAAAACUAAAGUUUAGGUAAGAGAAAGGCAUGAUAUAAAGUUUGAGAUACUGUUUAUCUUGUUCCUACUACACUAAGUUCUGGAGAUUUAUUUUGAAAACUUACAAAUCACAUGAUGAGUUCCUAGCAUAACAAACUUCCUACCACAGCCAUACUUGCUAUAACAUCUUUUACUAUAUUCACAUUGAGUUUGAUCGAGAUGUGUAGACCCUUAGGAGCUUUUCAUGUGGUUAAAUCAAGAUAUUCACUUGCACACAUCCACUACACCAUUCACCACCAUGCAUUAAAAUUGCUAAAAAUAUUAUUAUCACUCACUGUCCCAAGUGUUACUAUUCUCUCUCUCUAAAAAGAUUCAAUGUAGAAGAGGCAUGGGUUAUGCAAAAAUAUGCGAGAAAAUAAAAAGGGGCAAGUGCCCGGAACCUCGAAAAGGAAAGAAAAAGAGUGAGACAAGAGGUAAAAAUGGACAAGUGUCUGGAGUAGAAUUAGGGGUACAAAGAUGCCC